UGCCAAUGAUGUCUUUUCUCACGAUGGUCUUCCAAGCUAAUGGAGCUUUGACGACACUGCCUUUUGGCAUAACUGAUGCAGCUUG